UGGGGAAUUUUGGACAAUGGGCGAAAGCCUGAUCCAGCAAUGCCGCGUGUGUGAAGAAGGCCUUCGGGUUGUAAAGCACUUUUGUCCGGAAAGAAAUCCUUGGCUCUAAUACAGUCGGGGGAUGACGGUACCGGAAGAAUAAGCACCGGCUAACUACGUGCCAGCAGCCGCGGUAAUACGUAGGGUGCAAGCGUUAAUCGGAAUUACUGGGCGUAAAGCGUGCGCAGGCGGCUUGCUAAGACCGAUGUGAAAUCCCCGGGCUCAACCCGGGAACUGCAUUGGUGACUGGCAGGCUAGAGUAUGGCAGAGGGGGGUAGAAUUCCACGUGUAGCAGUGAAAUGCGUAGAGAUGUGGAGGAAUACCGAUGGCGAAGGCAGCCCCCUGGGCCAAUACUGACGCUCAUGCACGAAAGCGUGGGGAGCAAACAGGAUUAGAUACCCUGGUAGUCCACGCCCUAAACGAUGUCAACUAGUUGUUGGGGAUUCAUUUCCUUAGUAACGUAGCUAACGCGUGAAGUUGACCGCCUGGGGAGUACGGUCGCAAGAUUAAAACUUAAAGGAAUUGACGGGGUCAUAGCUGUUUCCU
rnacentral:rRNA from 1 species